GACGAACGCUGGCGGCGUGCUUAACACAUGCAAGUCGAACGAAGUGGCGAACGGGUGAGUAACGCGUAAUCAACCUGCCCUUCAGAGGGGGACAACAGUUGGAAACGACUGCUAAUAACGCAUACUGAAGGAGGGGAUUGCGUCGGAUUAGCUAGUGGGGGGGGGAACGGCCCACCAAGGCGAUGAGCAGUAGCCGGUCUGAGAGGAGGAACGGCCACAUUGGGACUGAGACACGGCCCAGACUCCUACGGGAGGCAGCAGUGGGGAAUCUUCCGCAAUUGACGAAAGUCUGACGGAGCAACGCCUCGUGAGUGAUGACGGCCUUCGGGUUGUAAAGCUCUGUUAAUCGGGACGCGGUACCGGAAUAGAAAGCCACGGCUAACUACGUGCCAGCAGCCGCGGUAAUAC
rnacentral:rRNA from 1 species